UAAUCAUUAAUGAAUAAAUAUAUGUUUUAGUAUUUUACACAGUUCCAGAAAAUUCCCUAUUUCACAUUACAAUUGAUGGUUUUCUUCCUAGUUAUGUCACAUUCUCUAGUCUUCAAGCUUGGUAAUUUCUUUGAUUGCUCUGACACGUGUACAUAUUUCUUGAAGAUUCUGAGGGUGAGAUAUUGGAUGGUGGUGCCCAGACUGAGCUUAUCCAGGAUACCCAACAGUUCUAUGACAACCAUGCUCAUCUGAGCAAUGGCACGGGUCUUCUUGAAGAGGAGCAGGUGGAGACACCAUCCAGCCCCAAGUCUGAGCCCGAGGAAGUGGAUGAUGUGAAAGAGGAUGUGUCCCCCUAUGACACGGUUGUCCACAACGAGGAACCCAAACUGGAAACUUUGCAUCUGGAGGAGGAGCCACAGCACAUCCAUGGUAAUGAAGGUGGAGGUGAUGCAGAAGCUUUCUCUGAACCUGUAAGUUCCAAUGCACUGUUAGAAAAGGACACAUCUUCACGCACAUCUGGUUACAAGUACAGAGCAGAAAGGACGAGCGUAAGGGGUAAGGCUGGUAUUGUAUCAAAUGAUCAGCUCUCAUUGGAUUGUUGUGGAGAUUUGUUUGUCACAACUACCAACUUACAUUA